rnacentral:rRNA from 1 species
UACGUAGGGGGCUAGCGUUGUCCGGAUUUAUUGGGCGUAAAGAGCGUGUAGGCGGCCAGGUAGGUCUGCUGUGAAAACUCGAGGCUCAACCUCGAGACGUCGGCGGAAACCAUCUGGCUAGAGUCCGGAAGAGGAGAGUGGAAUUCCUGGUGUAGCGGUGAAAUGUGUAGAGAUCGGGAGGAACACCGGUGGCGAAGGCGGGUCUCUGGGCAAUUCCUGACGCUGAGGCGCGAAAGCGUGGGGAGCAAACGGG